rnacentral:rRNA from 1 species
UAGGGAAUCUUCCGCAAUGGACGCAAGUCUGACGGAGCAACGCCGCGUGAGUGAAGAAGGAUUUCGGUUCGUAAAACUCUGUUGUUAUAGAAGAACAGCGCAUAGAGUAACUGUUAUGCGUGUGACGGUAUCUAACCAGAAAGCCACGGCUAACUACGUGCCAGCAGCCGCGGUAAUACGUAGGUGGCAAGCGUUGUCCGGAUUUAUUGGGCGUAAAGCGAGCGCAGGCGGUCAAUUAAGUCUGAGGUGAAAGCCCCCGGCUCAACCGGGGAGGGUCAUUGGAAACUGGUUGACUUGAGUGCAGAAGAGGAGAGUGGAAUUCCAUGUGUAGCGGGGAAAUGCGUAGAUAUAUGGAGGAACACCAGUGGCGAAGGCGACUCUCUGGUCUGUAACUGACGCUGAGGCUCGAAAGCGUGGGUAGCAAACAGG